rnacentral:rRNA from 1 species
AACACGUGGGUAACCUGCCCAUAAGACUGGGAUAACUCCGGGAAACCGGGGCUAAUACCGGAUAACAUCUAGCACCGCAUGGUGCAAGAUUGAAAGGCGGCUUCGGCUGUCACUUAUGGAUGGACCCGCGUCGCAAUAGCUAGUUGGUGAGGUAACGGCUCACCAAGGCGACGAUGCGUAGCCGACCUGAGAGGGUGAUCGGCCACACUGGGACUGAGACACGGCCCAGACUCCUACGGGAGGCAGCAGUAGGGAAUCUUCCGCAAUGGACGAAAGUCUGACGGAGCAACGCCGCGUGAGCGAUGAAGGCCUUCGGGUCGUAAAGCUCUGUUGUUAGGGAAGAACAAGUAUGAGUUGAAUAAGCUCAUGCCUUGACGGUACCUAACCAGAAAGCCACGGCUAACUACGUGCCAGCAGCCGCGGUAAUACGUAGGUGGCAAGCGUUAUCCGGAAUUAUUGGGCGUAAAGCGCGCGCAGGCGGUUUCUUAAGUCUGAUGUGAAAGCCCACGGCUCAACCGUGGAGGGUCAUUGGAAACUGGGAGACUUGAGUGCAGAAGAGGAGAGUGGAAUUCCAUGUGUAGCGGUGAAAUGCGUAGAGAUAUGGAGGAACACCAGUGGCGAAGGCGACUCUCUGGUCUGUAACUGACGCUGAGGCGCGAAAGCGUGGGGAGCAAACAGGAUUAGAUACCCUUGGUAGUCCACGCCCGUAAACGAAUGAGUGCUAAGUUGUUAAAAGGGUUU